UCCGUAGGUGAACCUGCGGAAGGAUCAUUACAGAAAUAGGAGAAGGUUGCUUAACUGCAAUCCUUUUCUUUCUACACAUGUGUUUUUCUUUUUUUUGAAAACUUUGCUUUGGUGGGCCCACGGCCUGCCAGGGAUUAAACUCAACCAAAUUUUUAUUUAAUUGUCAACUUGAUUAACUAAUAGUCAAAACUUUCAACAACGGAUCUCUUGGUUCUCGCACCGAUGAAGAACGCAGCGAAAUGCGAUAAGUAAUAUGAAUUGCAGAUAUUCGUGAAUCAUCGAAUCUUUGAACGCACAUUGCGCCCUUUGGUAUUCCAAAGGGCAUGCCCGUUUGAGUGUCAUUUCUCCCUCAAACCUUCGGGCUUGGUGUUGAGCGAUACGCUGGGUUUGCUUGAAAGAGAGGCGGAGUAUAAACUAAUGGAUAGGUUUUUUUUCCUCUCGUUGGUACAAACUCCAAACAUUCUUCCAAAUUCGACCUCAAAUCAGGUAGGACUACCCGCUGAACUUAAGCAUAUCAAUAAGCGGAGGA
rnacentral:rRNA from 1 species